GAAGGCGGGUUUUCCGGGUGCUGUGGUGCUGGUUUCGCUUAGUAGCUGAGCAGGUUUGAAUGGUACUUGUGUGCUGUGCUCUCUGUCAUGCCGCUGGAUGCUGUGGAGGGUGCUCAGGCAAGCCCCGAAGUUGUGACAUGGAUGCCUUGACCUAUGAUGAUGUGCAUGUGAACUUUACUCAAGAAGAAUGGGCUUUGCUGAAUCCUACACAGAGGAAUCUCUACAAAGAUGUGAUGUUGGAGAUCUACAGGAACCUCAAAGCUGUAGGCUACAAUUGGGAAGACCAAAACACUGAAGAACAUUGUCAAAGUUCCAGAAGACAUGGAAGGUAUAUCCUGUGUCACAAUGGAUACAAGCCAUUUGAGCAUAGGGAAAUUGAAAGAAGCAGAACCUUCUCUCUCUCCCAGAACAAUUAAAAUAUAUGUAGUAGUCCACAUUUGAGCAAACUUUCUCACUGUGAUACAAGUUUAUAAUUAGUUGGUUUUCCAACUUCAGUGGGAAUAUAUCUAUAAACUCACACUGCAGAAAAUCCCUAUCAGUACAGGAUUGUGGAAAUUCUUUUAUGUUUGUCCUGGUUUAUUUUGUCAAUGUAGUAUGAAAAUGUAGUAUAUUUCACAAUAUAGGAAAAUUUAUGAAUGUACUCAGUGUGGUAAAGCUCUGAACUCUUCUAUUUCUCUUGAAAUAUGUGAAAAAUGUCAUAGAGAAAAAGGAUGUGAAAAAUCUUAAGAUGUGAGUCCUCUUUACAAUUAGACCAAAUUGUAAAAUUAAUUCCUACAGAUAAAAAGAUUCAUCAAUUUA
rnacentral:lncRNA from 1 species